CUGACGUCAGACCUGAAGAUGAGUGAUUGUGACGAGGAAGAGGAGGACAGAGCAGAAUGUCCGAUGUCCAUCAUACUGUCUGUGAAGAGUGACUUUUCCAAAGAUAACCCCCCAGACUUCAGUGAUGAACCUGGAGCCUCAGACACACAAAUGAUGAAGACAGUUGGAGAACAAUUAGAUACAAAAUAGGAUGAAGGCUGUAUUCCUGAAAUAUUCAUGUUCGUGAAGUGAUGUUACUGCAUAGUCUGCAGUUUAUAUAUAUCAUUUCAAAUGUUUAGAAUCCAAUCCAUCAAUAAAUUAAUGGAAAACUG